rnacentral:lncRNA from 1 species
GCGCUGGCCUCAAGCCGGGCGGCAGGGAGCAGGCAAGCGCUUAACCCUGGCCGGCCGGGAGCCCCAGACACCACCUGCCUCCUCGUCGACUCGGGAGCUCCUCUUCGGACCGUUUCCUGAACUUUAAUGACGGGCAAUUAGCGCGGUCCUACAAAUUUCUAGUAGAGAAAGCUUCAUUUGACAAUGAAGCAGAGCUGCACCUGGGAAGCACAGAUGAAGGUCUAGGUGCCCCUUCGUUUCUGAAUUGGAGAAAGUGUAGUGAGGAAGGGCCUCAGUGAGAAGAAUGACAUUUGCACAAAGGCUUGAAGGACAGGAGACAGCAAAUCGUGUGGACACCAGGGGAAGCAUGUUCUAGGCAGAGGAAAAGAAAAACUACAUGGAAUGAGGAAAUAGACCACUCCUGCCUUCAAAAUCCUCUUCGUGAGGUUUAUAGAAUUCCUAAGAACUCAGGAAAGACAUCAGCAGAGAGCAAUGAUCGUCAUAGCCAGGUGCACUGUCACCUCCAUUCAUACAGCACUGACUUUGCCCUUUCAGUCCCAUGGGGUUUACAGAUCUGUUCUCCUAACAGCUUCUUGCCUAUUUCACAAUGCCUAUUGCAAAACUAGCUCCACACAGAAUGCACCCACCCAGCUACUUGUCGAAUUACAACCUGAUGAUGGAUCCACCAGAAACUAAGAAUGGAAAGGUUAUAAAGAAAUCACAGCAGCCCUGCCACAUGGCAUUCAGCCUCUGCC